rnacentral:sRNA from 1 species
ACAAAAACAACACGCGCUAAGGGUUGGUCGAACAACGCUUGGAAUUCCGGAUCUGUCUUAAAGGCUUUUAAGACAGUCUGUUCAUCAACCCCUUUAGCAAAUUCCUUGGUACCUUUGAAGCGACCGUUGACCGAAAGAAUAAUUUUAACCUUAUCGGUUUCAAGUACGCUGUUAUCAACAUUUGGUAGUUGAGCAUGAACAAUAAACGGCUCCAUCCCUAGUUUAGCGUUUAAUUCUUCCGCUAAAUAAGGUGCAAAAAACGAUAACACCGUCAAAAAGCCCUUUGCAUAAGCCAGGGUUAAUUGUUUUGUUUUGUAAAGCAGGUUUAAAAAGAUCAUCAUUUGGCUAAUUACCAAAUUGAGUUCUUGUUUCUCUAAGUGCUCGUAACUACGCUUUAAAAAGAGGUUAUAACCAUAAACAGUUUCUUGAUCUACCGUUUCUUUAAUAAUGUUUUCCUUGUGAAAGAAAUUGUGCACCCGAUCAAGUCAACGCCGCAUUCCGUUUAACCCAUCAUCCAAUCAGGUCAACGCCGCGCUAAUCGGCCCCAUAAACAUCAAGUAAAGUCGCAAGGCAUCAGCACCAUGAGAAUCAAUUAGUGGCGUAGGGUUGAUUGUGUUGCCCUUGGAUUUGGACAUCUUUUUGCCAUCUGGUCCCAAUACCAUGCCCUGGUUAAUUAACUUUUUAAAGGGCUCUUUAGUGGUGACUAUUCCCUUUUGGUACAAGAAUUGGUGCCAAAAGCGCGCGUACAAGAGGUGCAACACGGCAUGUUCGGCACCACCC